rnacentral:rRNA from 1 species
GUCCUAGCCGUAAACGGUGCAUGUUUGCUGUAAAAGGAAUCGACCCCUUUUGUGGCGGAGCAAACGCGUUAAACAUGCCGCCUGGGAAGUACGGUCGCAAGAUUAAAACUCAAAGAAAUUGACGGGGGCCUGCACAAGCGGUGGAGUAUGUGGCUCAAUUCGAUGCAACGCGAAGAACCUUACCUGGCCUUGACAUGCAAGUAGUAGAAGGGUGAAAGCCUAACGAGGUAGCAAUACCAGCUUGCACAGGUGCUGCAUGGCUGUCGU